AGGUCGGGGUAUCAGGCCACUAACAUCUUCACACAAGAUGUUUCCUGAUGAAGGAGAGAGUGUUGAACUGCAUUCUUACUUGGCUUCCACACUCCUAACUUUCCACAUAGGAGUUUUUGCUGGGAAAAAAAAAAAAAGGAGUUACUGGGCCUUGGGUUCCUGGUUGCUAUUUGUGGCUCCUCUGAGAGACAGCAGAUCUCCAGCAAACUCCUUCAGGUUCUUGUAUGAGGGACUGUAAGACCUUCCCAUGAAAUGCCUGCUUCAGAGGAUGAGGAUCUUAAACUUCCAAAAAAUUAGUGUGAUUUUUAUUCUGAAGAAAAAGAAGAACAACAACAAUUCCUUGGACAACCCAUUGUAAGGGCACCUGCCUCACUCGCUGCACAGGAUGAAUGUAAAAGGGGGCAGAAUUAACAUUGCAAAGGCAACUGUAAAAUGGGCAUUUCCAAACUUUCAACUUUGCAACCUGAAUAAUUUUUUAAUGUUGUUUUUGGCAUACUAUGCACAGAAGCUAGUUCUUCCAAAACUUCAAAAUUACUGCCGACCCCGCGAAUAAACAACAGCAGCUGUGAAGUAUCGGAAACAUCGGUUGACUCGUCAAGUGCGAGGGAAAACCACUCACAGUUCUUAGUCUUUUCAUUCAGCUGUAAAAUUAUAUAGCUGCCAAGGUCCUCGAUUCUGCGAGCAACUGUGUUGGU